rnacentral:misc_RNA from 1 species
UCAAAACAGCGGCCUUCGGGCCUCGCUGCACCCUUGUCUUUUGCGCACCGUAUUGUUUCCUCGGCGGGCUUGCCCGCCGGUUGGACAUCAUAAGACCUUUUUGUAGUUGCAAUCAGCGUCAGAAAAACAAUAAUUAUUA